GUAAACUACUUGCACUGUUAUUUUUUACUCUUUGUUAAAUUUGCAAAGGGAAGUAAUGGAAUAGGUUCUGGCCUUUAAUUCUUGAAUAGUUUGGAAUUUUAAUGAGGCAUAUUUGAGGGAGCCCUCCAUUUUGAAUAAAAUCUGGUUUUGAUCCUGAUCUUUUUUCUAACUUGGUUAGUAUGCUCCUAUUUUUCGUAAUUUACUUUUCUCGUUUGUGAAAUAGUUAGUUGAAUUAGAUCAUCUCUAAUUUUCCUUUUCACUUGAAAACUCAAUUUAAUUUUAAAAAUUGAAGAUGCCUUUUCUCAGGUUAGAAUUCACUUUAUACUCUAUACAACAUCUGAUACAUAAAUUAGUAUGGUUAGUGGUGUAAUUGCCUUUCCUAAGUAGGCAUGAGUAGCCAUUAGCUUAUACAUGAUUCUCGAACCCACUUGAUUUGACUGUUGUUGAAAUUAUCAAAGUGAGUUUCUCUUUAGCAGGUUCAGGUUUGAUGUUAGAAAGCACUAUGACUCACAAGAAGAUAUUUUCUUUUCCCCAAUCCCUUUAAAUUUUUUUUUUUUUUAGUUGUAGAUGGACACAAUACCUUUAUUUUAUUUGUUUUUAUUUUUAUGUGGUGUCAGGGAUUAAACCCAGUGCCUCACACAUGCUAGGCAAACGCUCUACCACUGAGCCACAACCCAGGCCCUUCCCCAACCUCUUUAAACAUUAUUUCAUUCUUUUAAAAAUAUUAUUCAUUGGGCUGGGGAUAUAGCUCAGUUGGUAAAGUGCUUGCCUUGCAUGCACAAGGCCCUGGAUUCAAUACCCAGCACCACAACCAAAA
rnacentral:lncRNA from 1 species